rnacentral:lncRNA from 1 species
GAUCCACCCCCAAAGGGAAAUGCCAACAGAAGAGCUUCUAUUUCUUGAAAGGAAAAAUGGAUUCCUUUUAGAGUCUAAUAAGCAGGAAUCUGGGCAGCUCUGGCUCUAUCCUACUAUGCAUUGUGAUGUUGGGCUAGGACUAAAGGAGACACUCUACUGGAAGAGUAACUACCCGGAGAGCGAAGGGACUGAGCAGGAACGAAGCGAAGAACUCGGGCCUGGCCAGGGAUGCUCCCGGUCUCUGCCUCCGGCGGGGAGCGCCCGGCAGAGCCGGACCAAGGCAGGAAGCAGGUUUCCAGCCGGAGCUGAGCCCGCUUCUUCCAAAGCCCUGUGGCUGCGCACCCCUGACGCUGCCUGAGUCCGGUCGGUGGCAGGUGCGGCGGGGGAGUCCCCGAAGGAGAAGGGGGCGGAGGGCAAAGGUCAAAGCCAGGCUUCCGGCGGGCCGGGGAGCCCACACCCAGGGCAGGAGGGAGGGGUUAGGGCGGGCCGGGGCCGAACUGAGCCCCCAAGGGCGGAACCGCGCCGACGGAGAGCAAACCCUCUGUUGUCUAAUCGAGAACCAGAUUAAGAGCCAAGGAGGAAAAAAAGGCAAGAAGGCGUUCUUCAGAUUGGAAGGAUCUAACUCAACACCCCAGUCUCCUGGCCAGUGGCCAAGGACACUGGUUCUUUUCAAGGCACCUUUCUACCUCUGGACCACCUCAGCCCUUGGAUUUAUGCGGUUGCUAGAAAGGUCUAGAAAGUCAAAGGUCAGGAAGAGGCAUCCUGCAGCCAGUGAGGAAAUAGCCGGUUCAGAGUCCUCCACGGGGACAAGGACACAAUUCGAGCGUUUCCUGUGCCAGAGGGACUUCUGAAACCGCAAGCGGAAAUCGGGUGCCCGGCGGGGGAACGCAGAGGCGUUUCAGCGUCGCCUACGUUUCUGGCCCCUGGCAGCCAAGACCCCCGCGACCCGCCGGCUUCUCGGCCGGCGCCGCGACGUGUGGGGAACGACAAUUACACCCGAAAGGAAUCAACAACCACUCGCGGGGCCACGACUCGCAUCGCUCCGCACGCGCAGGUUCGGGCCCAGCUUUCAGCAACACCCACCCCAUCCGCUCCCGAUCGCUAAGCACUCGCUCGCCAUUUGUGGACUGCGAUGGAGCUGCGCUC